UUUAGUCUUGGGUGCGGAGUUGGUGUUAUUUUAGGGAAGAUAAGUUCAGUACGUCGACACGUAUCAUAAUAACAGGAAGAAGUGUGGAUGUGGCGGUACUGCAAGCCCAGGUUUGAGCGGCUCCUCCUGGAGGAGCUGCAGAGACAGCAGCGAGGCAGCAUGUUCUGUGACACGGUUCUGCAGGCUGGCGGUAUAUCUGUGCCAGCCCACAGCUGUGUCCUCUCUGCACUCAGCCCCCAGUUUGCCCAUGCGCUCUCUGUUGCCCCCACUGCGUGUGCUGGACAGAAUCAGCU